UACACUCCUGCGGGAGGCAGCAGUGGGGAAUUUUGGACAAUGGGCGAAAGCCUGAUCCAGCAAUGCCGCGUGAGUGAAGAAGGCCUUCGGGUUGUAAAGCUCUUUUGUCAGGGAAGAAACGGUGAAAGCUAAUAUCUUUUGCUAAUGACGGUACCUGAAGAAUAAGCACCGGCUAACUACGUGCCAGCAGCCGCGGUAAUACGUAGGGUGCAAGCGUUAAUCGGAAUUACUGGGCGUAAAGCGUGCGCAGGCGGUUUUGUAAGUCUGAUGUGAAAUCCCCGGGCUCAACCUGGGAAUUGCAUUGGAGACUGCAAGGCUAGAAUCUGGCAGAGGGGGGUAGAAUUCCACGUGUAGCAGUGAAAUGCGUAGAUAUGUGGAGGAACACCGAUGGCGAAGGCAGCCCCCUGGGUCAAGAUUGACGCUCAUGCACGAAAGCGUGGGGAGCAAACAGGAUUAGAUACCCGGGUAGUCC
rnacentral:rRNA from 1 species